rnacentral:rRNA from 1 species
AGAACGAACGUUGGCGGCGUGGAUUAGGCAUGCAAGUCGAACGAAUCCCAUCCGGGUAACUGGGUGGGGGAAGUGGCGAAAGGGGCAGUAAGGCAUGGGCAACCUACCCCGGGGACGGGCAUAGCCGUCCUAACGGACGGGUAAUACCUGGCGAUUCGGCGAGGGGGCAUCCCCUUGCCGGGAAACGAGUUUCGCCUCGGGAGGGGCUCAUGUAGUAUUAGCUUGUUGGUAAGGUAACGGCUUACCAAGGCGAAGAUGCUUAGCGGGUGUGAGAGCACGACCCGCGCCACUGGCACUGAGACACUGGCCAGACUCCUACGGGAGGCUGCAGUCGAGGAUCUUCGGCAAUGGGCGCAAGCCUGACCGAGCGACGCCGCGUGUGCGAAGAAGGCCUUCGGGUUGUAAAGCACUGUCGAGGGGGAGAAAGCCGCAAGGUUGAUCGACCCUGGAGGAAGCACGGGCUAAGUUCGUGCCAGCAGCCGC